AUUGAACGCUGGCGGCAUGCCUUACACAUGCAAGUCGAACGGCAGCGGACCUUCGGGUGCCGGCGAGUGGCGAACGGGUGAGUAAUAUAUCGGAACGUACCUUUCAGUGGGGGAGUAACGUAGCGAAAGUUACGCUAAUACCGCAUAUUCUGUGAGCAGGAAAGCAGGGGAUCGCAAGACCUUGCGCUGAUUGAGCGGCCGAUAUCAGAUUAGCUAGUUGGUGAGGUAAAGGCUCACCAAGGCGACGAUCUGUAGCGGGUCUGAGAGGAUGAUCCGCCACACUGGAACUGAGACACGGUCCAGACUCCUACGGGAGGCAGCAGUGGGGAAUUUUGGACAAUGGGCGUAAGCCUGAUCCAGCCAUGCCGCGUGAGUGAAGAAGGCCUCGGUUGUAAGACUCUUUCGGCCGGGAAGAAUACGCACAGGUUAAUA
rnacentral:rRNA from 1 species